rnacentral:lncRNA from 1 species
GUCUACACUGACAGUAACUUAAAGCACAGCAGCCCCGAGGAGCUCCUGGAGCAAGACCUGCAGAGAGCUGCAAGCCUUGGGGUGCUCCCCAAGGGGGACAUUGAGGGCCCUUUCUUAGGCUUCUGUUCCUGCUUUCCUUACAGCAACCACCAUUGAGUCUCUGGGUGUCAGCUGCACGUUCACCAGCAGGUGUGAAUUUGCAGGAGUUGAGGAAAAACAAAAUACUCUCUUCUGGAGUGCAGAUGUUACCUGGACCAUUAGAGCACUGGAGAACUGCUGGGAGAAACUUGAUGUUGGAUCAGGACUUGCUGAUGCUUUGUCUAAGACUCUUCCACACGAUGAAAACAAAACACCUCUAAUAUAUGCUAUUGCCAUCGCCCAAGUCUCCAGGCCUUCUGCCUAUCUCUGUGCAGCAAUGAUUGUCCACAGCAUUACAGGUAUUUUGAGGACAAGACUGAUGCUACCCGUUUCUUUUUUAACCCCAUAUUCCAACUGUGUAACCAGCUGGAGUUCUGCUUCAAAGGAGAAAACUACUGAAGUCUCAGCUGGUUGCUUUGCUGUCAGCCCCUUUCGAUCAGGAUAUUUUAUGCUGUUUGUCAGCAUGGUUUCUAAACACCCGUGGCCUCAGGCUUUGAAGGAGUUCAGCCUUUCCUAAAAUUGCUGAUCUUCCUUGUUGCAUAGUUUGCAUAAUUUUUGCAGUGGGCUUUUCCUUAAGAUUGUGAUUCCUAAGUGGUUCAAACAUAUGGAGAUCUCCAGUUCUCAUCUUCUCUCCUCUUCAUCAGCAUUCUGUUUAUAGAGGCAGAGCAUCUCUCUAUCAAUCUUCCUUACAGCUCCCCUUUGCUUUGCUCCUUGGACUAUACACCGGGGCAUAAAGCAGUGUGGAAUGUUUCCUGUUUUGUGUACUAAUAAGCAAAAACAGGAAAAAAAAUAUAAUAAAAGGAGCAGCAACGUGUGCA